UGCAACUUCAAGUCGUAAAUAGAAGAAAUAUUGAGAAUGCAAGGGGGAAAAUUAUAACAUGAGCACUUAUGAAACGGGAAACAGACUGAAAACCUUCAGAUUUAGAAUAGCGACAGGACGAUAUAUUUUGGACCCAUCCUUCUGAAGCUCUGUACUAAGCCUUUGCAUUAUCUACUUAUCAGUCAGGGACCUCUCAAGAAAGAUAAACCACUUGAGUAUUAAAACAGAGGGGUCUGGUGCAGGAAACUGAUCACCCAGGAAAAGGAAGAGCUGAAAUGCUUAGCAGCAAACAGGGAGAGAACCUAGAGGUAAACACUCCCAGAAAACCACAACCUCCUCUGGGCCAGAGUGAGGAGGCAGAGACUAAGGUCCUUAGAUGGGGGCUAGAAGAGACUCAACUAUUGCAUCAGAUGUUGCCAGAAACAGAGAGGGAGUGGGAGAAAAACCCUGGCUUCUCUCUCCAGCCUCCUCCCCCAUCUGCCUCUCAUGUCUACCUGGGCCAUUCCCAUCCUGGAAAAUAGUCUGCAGUGUUCUUUCCUUGUGCAAGGGGAUGGGUGAGGAAUGGAUCCAAAGGCAAACAGGCCCGGGACCAGCACAAAUAUUGUCUGCGUGAGCAGAGGCAUGACUCUACAUUCUGGUGAGGACAUCCCCCUGGGAGAGCUUGCAUCAUACCAGGAUGACCACAGGACGCCCUCCUGAUGCACAGUGCCUUUGCUCAAAGACCAACCUUAGUUUGUGAAAGAGAAUUAAGCUUUUCCAACCUUGAAAGCCUUCAGAUUACUGGAUCCCCAGAUGCUAUGGAUGGCCAGCUCCAUAAAAAGAAUUUUUAUCUCAUUUAAAAAAACUUCAUUAA
rnacentral:lncRNA from 10 species